rnacentral:rRNA from 1 species
CAGCCGCCGCGGUAAUACGAAGGGUGCAAGCGUUACUCGGAAUUACUGGGCGUAAAGCGUGCGUAGGUGGUUGUUUAAGUCUGCUGUGAAAGCCCUGGGCUCAACCUGGGAAUUGCAGUGGAUACUGGGCGACUAGAGUAAGGUAGAGGAUAGUGGAAUUUCCGGUGUAGCAGUGAAAUGCGUAGAGAUCGGAAGGAACAUCUGUGGCGAAGGCGACUAUCUGGGCCAUUACUGACACUGAGGUGCGAAAGCGUGGGGAGCAAACAGGAUUAGAUACCCGCGUAGUCCCUGUCUCUUAUAC